UCCUGCCUCAGCCUCCCCGAGUAGCUGGGAUUACAGGCGACUGCCGCCACCACGCCCGGCUAAUUUUUUAAGUAUUUUUAGUAGAGACGGGUUUCACCGCGUUAGCCAGCAUGGUCUUGAUCUCCUGACCUCGUGAUCUGCCCUCCUCGGCCUCCCAAAGUGCUGGGAUUACAGGCGUGAGCCACCGCGCCCGGCCGACCCCUGUAGGGUUUUAAAGGAGAGAGGCAGCAUCCCAGAGGGCAAAAAGGGCUUCAUUCAUGGAGAAAGCAACUGAGCUGGGCAGAGCACAGACGGAAUUUGAAUUGGAGGCCAGAGGCAAAGGGAACUCCAAGUGGAAGAAGAAACGGCAUGAAAAAAGGGAUUGAGAAGGAAAAGGACAAGAUGGUUUGGAGAGAGAGCAACUUCAGCCUGGAAAAGCAGAAAUGAGAUGCGGCCAAGAAAAAGACUCCAGCCCAGCCUGCCUUGGUUCUAACCCUGACUGUUACUUAACCUCUUUCUGGCUCAGUCAAGAAACUUGAGCACUGCAAGAUGAUCAUGUGGAAUACCUACUUCAAACGGAUGUUAAGAGGAAAGAUUCAGGCUUUAGCGAUGACUGGAGGGUCAUUCGCUGGAAAGAAUUUCAUCAGUUGGAACUAAAUCAUGGUGAGCAAAAGAAAGUCUACCUAAGUGAUAUGGUUUGGCUCUGUGUCCACAUCCAGAUCUCAUCUCGAAUUGUAAUUCCCACAAGUUGUGGGACGGAGGUGAUUGAAUCAUGGGGGCAGGUGCCCCAAUGCUGUUCUGGUGAUAAUGAGUGAGUCCCCAAGAGAACUGAUGAUUUUAUAAGGGGCUCUUCCCCCUUCACUUUCUCUUCUCUCUCCUGCUGCCUUGUGAAGCAGGUGCCUGCUUCGCCUUCUGCCAUGAUUGUGUUUCCUGAGGCCUCCCCAGCCAUGCAGAACUGUGAGUCAAUUAAAACUCUUUUCUUUAUAAAUUACUUAGUCUCUGGCAGUUCUUUAUAGCAGUGUGAGAAUGGACUAAUACACUAAGUUACUUCCUGAGUAGACCAAUGGCCUCCAUUCCCUCUGUCAAACAUACGACACUGACCCUGAAGGUAGCUUGGGCUGGCUGGGGAUGCACUCUCUGUAUGGCCCUGGUGCAUCACCUCCCCCACCCACUUCCACCCUCCCUGCUAAUGUGGAGUGUGUGUAGAGUGCACAGUUACAAUGAGGCCGUUGUGACAGUCCUGGUCACUGUUUUGAUCACAUGAUUUUUUAUUUUGUAGAUGAAUGAAAUACAAGUACAACAAGAAAAAGUUUCUGUAAAAACUAAGUAGUGCCUCACUUUGGAGUCGGCUGAGAAGAUCAUUCCAGACGGGAGUUUUGACACUGUACAAAUGCACUGUCUUCACAUCUACGCUGACACCCCUGCCUUUCUACCUGCAGGUGUCUGUGGCUUACAAGCUGGUGCCUCCCACAGACCCUGUAGUUUGGAGCUAAUGAAGAGCUGAGAAGGUAGGUUUGGCUGUGACUAGAGAGCAGGAACAACCUCUCCACAGGUCAUUCCUUUCUCCAGGCAUGGAACCGUCUUACAAACCUGGGCUGAGGGUUCAUUGCCUCUAAAUGUAGAAGCAAAGACUAAAUUCAAAAGGCAAGAACUACUUAAUGAAAACAGAAACUCCACUACAUACGUGUUUCUUCUGCCUAUCCCAUGGAGUCAGAGAGGUGGUGGAUCUAGCAGAGACAGCUGUAGACCAGGGGUCAGAAGACUUGGGUCCUCAUCCUGAUUCUACCACUAACUAGCUGCAUGACCUCAGACAAGUGACUUGUCUGCCCUAGACCAGGCAGGGUUGGACAGUUAGCCCCAAAGUCCCUUCUAAUGCUAAAAUUCUAAGAUUGUACCCUGCCAGCCUUAGGAGGCUAUGCUGUUACUACCAGUGCCUGGCACAUAGCAGGCACUAUAUAAAUGUUAAUUAUCAUUAUUAUUAUGUAAAGGCACAAUGCAUGCCUUUAUAUGUAAACGUGGAUUCUUCCCCAUUAUAACAAUGAAUGAUCUAGAAGCAAAUUAUAACAACAGGGUAUAAUCAUAAGCAAUGAAGACUGUAAUUCCUACCGGUCUUCUUCUCAGCACAAAUGAAUAAAGCUUUUCCCCCCUCCCCCUCCAGUAAUUGUUGGAGGUGGUUCUUGGAUCCAAAUCCCAAGCCCUUCCAGAAUAUCUGCAAUUGGAGAACGGGUCAUUCAAUCAAAAGACUGUAGACUGUACUGUGAUGUAAAUUUUUUUCUUCCCCACUGAAAAUCCCAGGCCAGGCAUGGUGGCUAACACUUAUAAUCCCAGCACUUUGGGAGGCCUAGGUGGGCAGAUCACUUGAGCUCUGAGCAAUACAAUGAGACCUCGUCUCUACUAAAAAUUCAAAAACAAUUAGCCUGGUGUGGUGGCACAUGCCUGUAGUCCCAGCUAUUCAGGGGGCUGGGGGCUGAGGUGGGAGGAUCACUUGAGUCUGAGAGGCCAAGGCUGCAGUGAGCCCUGAUUGCACCACUGAACUCCAGCCUGGGUGACAGAAGAAGACCUUGUCUCAGAAAAAAACAAACAAGCAAACAAACAAAAAACUCAAUGCAGGUUGGGAAUGAGAACUGGGAUUCAGGAUUUGGAGUUUCCUAAUAUAUUUUGCCUUCUUCCCAUGAUAUAUACAGUGUAUAAACCUAGUAUGAGGAAGGAACAGUUGUCUAUCAAAAUGGUAAAUGGCAUUCAGUCUUAAGUUUCUAAAUAAAGUUAGCAAUUAUGGGUAUGGCCAAAUGUGGGUGCUUGCCAUAACCUCUGGGGCCUCACCAUUUCCAGCUACCAGGAUCUGCAACUUUUUGCCUGAGGGUUUUCUCAGAAGACACAGAAACUGUUCUGCCUAUAAGCCUUGAAGUGCCAGGGAAUUAACACCUACCUUCCCACAGCCCUCCCCACAGUGACUGAUAGCAUUGAUAACGAUACCCAAGCUUCACCCCUCAGGUGGGAUAACUGAGCUGCUUGUUCUAUACCAUGUUCUAGAGUUUCUCCCAUGAGUUUAGGUUCUAAUCAUCCACAUGUAAAUUGCUUGAUAAGAAACCUUCAUUGACUCCUUGUCUCACUUCCCCUCCCCUUAUUUGUUUUGUUUGCACCUUUCAAAUAAACUAUUUUCAUUCAAAUC
rnacentral:lncRNA from 1 species